rnacentral:tRNA from 1 species
GGGCCACUAGCUCAACUGGUAGAGCAGCUGACUCUUAAUCAGCAGGUUCAGGGUUCGAGACCCUGGUGGCUCACCA